rnacentral:rRNA from 1 species
UACGAAGGGGCUAGCGUUGCUCGGAAUUACUGGGCGUAAAGGGCGCGUAGGCGGACAGUUUAGUCAGAGGUGAAAGCCCAGGGCUCAACCUUGGAAUAGCCUUUGAUACUGGCUGUCUUGAGUUCGGGAGAGGUGAGUGGAAUGCCGAGUGUAGAGGUGAAAUUCGUAGAUAUUCGGCGGAACACCAGUGGCGAAGGCGACUCACUGGCCCGAUACUGACGCUGAGGCGCGAAAGCGUGGGGAGCAAACAGG